AUAUAAACUUAGACUUACGGGUGUGGAAGCCGGUGAAAUCCCGGCGCGGUCGCGCCACUGUAAUCGACGGGCGGAUACCGCCCCCAGAGAGCCAGACCCUUCCCGUAAAAAACCCUUCCGC
rnacentral:ncRNA from 2 species